AGCUAUUUUGGAUUUCUGUUGUCCUUUAUGAAAUGGCAUUUGGAGUUGCCUUCUUGGCAGGAGCAUCAUCCUCAUCUCCCUACUUGAUUAAAUUUGUCACGUGUCUUGGAAAUGUUGUUCUUGGUUCAAUUCUGUGGUACCAGACCAAAUACGUAGACGUGACAAAUCCAGCUUCCACUAGAUCCUUCUAUUCAUUGAACUGGAAGUUAAUGAUGGGAGCACACGUUCUCCUUCCUUUAAUUAAAUAAAUG